rnacentral:lncRNA from 1 species
GAGGGUUAUGACAAUUACUAUUAACACUAGUAGAUAGUAUAAAGUUAUACUAAUAUCAAAACAUUAAUUGAUAUAUAAGAUGUUAUUAGCCUAUAACAUCAAGACGUACUGUCUCUUUAGAGGAACACUCUUUUUUGUUAAUCAAAUUUCGUAGAAGAAUACAACACUGGCUUGCAUUCAAAAUGCGGCUAUCUAGAAGCAGGACUGUCAUCACAACAGCAGCACUUAAUAAGUUGUAAUUAUUUUGAAAAAUCUGGCGCUUCAAAUAUAGUUAAAUUUAUAUAACUAUUAUAUAAGCACUAAAACUUUUAAUGAACAGCAAGCUGGUGAUAUUGAGAUCACAUAUAUUUGACAUCUAUUCCAAACGGAUGAUAUGUGAACUACAUUUACGACGCCUUAUUUUUUUAAAUCGUGUUUCGGUAGGGUGUAUCAAUUAAUUUGUAUUAUUGUUUUUAUUU